AGGUUGAACGGCCACNUUGGGACUGANACANGGCCCAAACUCCUACGGGAGGCAGCAGUAGGGAAUUUUCGGCANUGGAGGAAACUCUGACCGAGCAACGCCGCGUGAACGAUGAAGUAUUUCGGUACGUAAAGUUCUUUUAUUAGGGAAGAAUAAAUGAUGGAAAAAUCAUUCUGACGGUACCUAAUGAAUAAGCCCCGGCUAACUAUGUGCCAGCAGCCGCGGUAAUACAUAGGGGGCAAGCGUUAUCCGGAAUUAUUGGGCGUAAAGGGUGCGUAGGCGGUUAAAUAAGUUUAUGGUCUAAGUGCAAUGCUCAACAUUGUGAUGCUAUAAAAACUGUUUAGCUAGAGUAAGAUAGAGGCAAGUGGAAUUNCAUGUGUAGUGGUAAAAUGCGUAAAUAUAUGGAGGAACACCAGUAGCGAAGGCGGCUUGCUGGGUCUUUACUGACGCUGAGGCACGAAAGCGUGGGGAGCAAACAGGAUUANAUACCCUGGUAGUCCACGCCGUAAACGAUGANUACUAAACGUUGGGUAAAACCAGUGUUGAAGUUAACACAUUAAGUACUCCGCCUGANUAGUACGUACGCAAGUNNGAAACUUAAAGGAANUUGACGGGACUCCGCNCAAGCNGUGGAUCAUG
rnacentral:rRNA from 1 species